rnacentral:rRNA from 1 species
AUACAGAGGGUGCAAGCGUUAAUAGGAAUUACUGGGCGUAAAGCGCGCGUAGGCGGUUUAUUAUGUCGGAUGUGAAAUCCCUGGGCUCAACCUGGGAACUGCAUUCGAAACUGAUUGACUAGAGUAUGGUAGAGGGUGGUGGAAUUCCUAGUGUAGCGGUGAAAUGCGCAGAUAUUAGGAGGAACAUCAGUGGCGAAGGCGACCACCUGGACCAAUACUGACGCUGAGGUGCGAAAGCGAGGGGAGCAAACAGGAUUAGAAACCCUAGUAGUCC